CACCUUGUGACAGUAAGUAACCUCUAAUUUUUCCCUAGCAGGUGGUGGUUGUCAGAAGGACAGUGAAAGGUCUCUAGGCCUGUGUGACUGAGGCCUAGUAUUAGCUUAUUAGCACUAGCUAAGUUUUUCAUUUACAGUGAUAAACGUCUUGUCCUUCACCUCCCAAAUGGCAGAAGACCUACUACUGACCCAUCCAGAUUAAAAAUACAUCUAACAUAAAUAGCAUGAAGCAUACAGAAAAUUACCAGACGAGUGCUACAGUACAGAGUGUCCAUGGCCAUAAAGUGUCUGAAAGCUAUGAGAAGUAAUUGCAAAGAGGAAAAACGUACAGGUGAAGAGGCUCUGUGAAGAGGUUGCUGUCUGCUUGAGCCAUGUGCUUUGUGCCAUUUUUGUUGGAUGAGAAACCACUCGAGCUUUGCCUGCGUCACGACACAGCUUCUCUCCACAGCACUUGGAUGAGCGAUGCUGCCUCUGCCUCAUCUUUGACUGGCAGAAUAAACACUGUUACCACAACAGCCAUGCUGGGAGACAAACUACAAGUAACAACAGAGCUUGUGGCCAUAGGUGAGGAUAGGAACUGCUCAGCUCUCUCGUCACCACAACAGUCCACCAGUCAGUCUCCUGCUCCACUCUCCCUUCAAGACGCUGAAAAUAUUAAACUCCUCAACUUGGGUCAGCAACUCGUUCCUCACCUAGAGUGUGAGGAGGUGCUAAUUCACAUCCCAGCUGCUUCACACAAAACCACCAGCCAACAAAAUCACAUCAUCCGCAAAAAGCCAAGAUGCCAAGAUGAGCUGGGGUUUUUUUUCUUUGUUUUUGCUUUAAUUUCAGCAGUCAUUUACAACAACUUUUCACACAUGUUAAAUGUCAGCAUCUUCUGUAUUUAGGUUUAAAUUAUGUGUGUUAUUUAAUUCACAUUUCGAACCAAAUACCACACCAUGUUUUCUUGGCAUUAAAACUCUAUGAAUCCUUCUAAUAUCCCAUUAAUUCUUAAGUCUCUUUGCACACAUUAAAAUGGACUCAUAGUUAAGAACAAGAUUAAAAACUUUAAAUAUGUACAAAAAGUACAAAGUAAAGUUAGCCCUGUGUCAGAUUGGUGACCUGUCCAUGGUGUACCGCGCCACAUGGACUGUGGUAACUGGAAUAGCCCUCCCCCCAAAAAAUCCUAAUAAUGAUAGGCAGAAGAGUAUAGGUGGACAAAAAGUAGAAAUUGGGCAGCACAGUGUCCUGGUGGUUAGCACUAUUGCCUCACAAAAAAAGGGAUGAUUGUCUGUCUCUCUGUGUUAGCCCUACAACAGAUUGGCGACCUCUUCAGGCUUUCCUUGCCUCCUGCCGUAUCGCAGCAGGGAUAGGCUCCAGCUCCCCUGUGACCCAAAUUAGAUAAGCAGAAGAAAAUUGAUGGAUGGAAGUUGAAAAGUGACUGUAGACAACUUCCUUGGGGUACUUCACAGCAUAGUCAUCACAUCUAAGAAUAAUUACCAUAUAUAGUGUAUACUAACUUAACCAACCUAAUGCAACUUUAAUCUGUGCAGCUGGAGAUGUUUUAAAGUUUUAAAACUUCACCUUACUCAAUAAUGACUUGUGGUCAAAUGCUUCUUUAGCAGGACCCACCUUAGAAAAAUAACUAGCAUUAAAGAAACCUUUUGAGGUUCUUGUAAUUAAACACAAGCAAAAAGAAAAUCUAAACAAAAGGUAGAUGAGGAAAUGGAUUAACAGAGGAGAUGGCAAGCAAGGGUGGAUGCAAACAGCAACAAUAAAUGUUACACUGGAGACAAAGCAAGAAACAAAAGAAAGUUGCACGAGAAGAGCAAAGAAUCUCAGAAAACAAUGCAAGGAUGGGAAGUGUAAAAGAAGCAGACAAAAAUGCUGGUGCAGAAAGGAAAGCAGUGAGGAGCAACGCAAACAGAGAGAGAUAAAGAAAGAUUGGCAAGCCAAAAGGGAGACCACAGCAAUGUACAUAGCAUCAGGCUGAUAUUGUCAUUCUAUGCAGCAGCCCAGCUCCAAUGUGCUGAUUAUGAGAGCAUCAUUUGAGACUGACAACCUUGUUGCUAUAGUACAGCAUGCCAAACACAUUCCCAGCCCCCAUCGUUCUCCUUCUGUGUUCUCCCCCUGAGCUCACACAAUAGCCGUCUGAUGAAGACUGAAUGAUUGGAGGAGGAACGAAGUGAAACGUGAAAGAAUUACACACAAAAAAAGGCAAAACACUUUUUGAGAAGCUGGUGACGAGGCUAGUGGAAAAAAUAUAAAACCAGAGAGAGAGAGAGAAGAGGAUGUGUGGAGAACAUGGACUCAAUGCAGCUGCAAUUAAGGGAGCGAUUUUGUGCCAGGGAAUAUGCUAAUUCCUCCUUUGUGUGAGCAGUUGAUUGGCCGUUGCACUGCGCACCAGGCAGUGAGAGAAGGGGAAGUAGUGGGCUUGGAAGCCUCUGUCUGGCAUGGCGUUCAUCACAGGCCUCAUUUAGCUACACCAUCACAGUUAGCAGCACUGGAUGAAAAAAAAGACUUUUUUGUCAAAUGCCUCUUCCUGUGUCGUCAUGUAGUACAUCCAAGGGAUGUAGGGAAAGAGAGGCUAGUUCAAUUAGCAAGCUCCUGAGACAAAGACAGGAACAAAGAUAUUCAUUAAUAGUCACACAUGACCUUUUUAUGUAUAUGAGCCGAGCCUCAAUCCACUGAGGACCGGUUUUAAUUUUGGACCUAAGGGAUUCUGGGAAUACUAUAGGAGACUGAAACUACUUUAGUAUUUCUAAUGCCUUCAGUUACUACACCAAGAGCUACAUUUGCAGACUUAAAUCUUAACAAUAAGCCUCAGUAGGUGUAUUUUACACCUUUAAAAGAACAAAUAAAAACACAGAGGUGCAGCAUAAAUACUGCCGUCGGUUUGCUGAUGUGCUUCAUUUUCUGCCGCCAAAGAAGAAGUGGCUGUUUUAUUCCAUUUAACAAAUUAAUCACAUGUAAUCACCAUGGUGUCAGAUGUAAAAUAAGCAUGAGUGGGCUUACACAUUCUGUAAUUCAUGGUCCAUAAUGUGUUGUCAUUCAGCAUAUUUCCUUCGCACUAUCACGCGUAAUUAGACAGUCUCUUGAGAGAAAAAGUGGAGGCAGAGCAUCGUAAGGCGGCGUCAGCCUGUCAGCUGAGCGUGGUUGGUGAUUAGCUGUCCAUGCACAAUGUGCACACCAGUCCUUAUCGCGUCACAGACCACACACUUGUGCACUGAAAUCAUCCUAGCAUCGUAACUUUCUGAAAUGUGUUUACCCCCAAAAAUAAAUAAAAGGGAAAUUUUGUGAGAUGAAACAGCUAUAACUGCACCGAGAAUAAAGAGAAGCAUUUGCUGUAAUCUAUAAUUAAUCGUUAAUGCUGAGAACACAAGGGAAAGCAUAAUAUUGAGUUAUAAUUCCUAAUUUAACAUAAUUGGUUGGAGCUUGUUACUGCUAGAAUAUGUGAUGGA